UUUUUUAUUUCUAGGAAAAUGCUUAUUACACAUCUUUUGAUAAUUUUGUGGUAAUUCCUAAAUAUGAUCCAACAUACAAAAAAUACAGUUUUACGUUAUAGUAUUACUGACUGAGGUACUGAUCCGGGAAGUGGUCACGUGACAAAAGAACGAACGACUCGAGAGACUCGAGAGACACAAGAGAUGAACUAAUCAAUUCUCUUUCCGGCUCAGACUGCAUUGGUUAAGCUUAUGGGGCUGUCACGUGACGAACGAACGACUCAAACCCGAAGACUUGUCAGGUAAGAGCGUGAAUUAAUGUCAGGGGAUGAAACGGAGUGGAUAUGUUUGUGUGUAUGAAAGUCCAGUAUGCUAACAGCGUGCGUGUGCACCCACAUCGCCUCAGCAGGGGUUUACGGAGGAAGAAUGAGAGCCAAACUCUGGUUCACUACUGGCUGUGGUGUACACGAUGAACUCCAUACUCUCUCCUUGGCGCUGUCUGUACCAGUACAUCUGAUAAUAGCUGCCACCUUUAUUAUGACUGCACUUCAUUUCAGCAUCUUCUCCUUUCAGAUGCCAGGCAACACUGGGGUUUUGGGUGACUCCAUUCUCUCCUGCUAAAACUAAAGGACAACAAAUGAUUUAAAAUAAUGACUUCAUUUGGAUUCACAAGUCAUGUUCAGUUUCUAGACUACAUAUAUUGUACCUGGAGUCCAGUAAAGCAGGAAAGUCAGACUGAUUAUAACACUGAUCAUACUGGUUCCUAGUGGCAAGAGAGGUAUCAAGAGAUGAGGACCACAGACUGCUGCAAAUACAUCCUGUUGAGGAUCAGUUGGAGGAAAUGGCAUCAAAACCAUUUCUUUGUGAUCAAGUCUUCCUGUCACAUGCUGAAUUAACACCUUUUAUUGUAAUUAAGACCUAAGUUAAUUUUGUUAUUUAAAGUUUACUUUUUAUUUUUGUUUGUUUGUUUGUUUGUUUGAACAGACUCUUUUUGGUACGACAUUCAUAAAAGGAAAGCAAAAUAUCAGCAUGAUUUUGACAGCUUUAUUUUUGUAAAAUUGCAUACUUUUUUUUUUACUUAUUGUAAUUAAUCAUAGUGUGAAUAAUCAAUAUGUGGCACAGUAUUUGUAAAAAAAAAAAAAAAAAACUGCAAUAAACAAAUUACAUUAAAUAUCAUAUAAUUGUGUGAAUUGCAUUAUUGACAAUGAUAGGUUUCAUGGCUUAUGUCACAAAAUGUUUAAUAUAACUCAGGAUACU